rnacentral:lncRNA from 1 species
GAUACCAUGUUGAGACAUUCUCCACAUCCAGAGAGCAACAGCAGGAAGAUCAGAGAGCUAAGAGGUCUCAUCACUGCCCACAUUGUGAAGAGAUUUUCCCAUUUCUAUCAAAGCUAAAAUACACCUAAAAAUACACACGGAGAGAAGCCUUACUCCUGCUCUGACUGUGGAAAAUGCUUCAAAACAUCAAUGGCUAAAACGUCACGAGAACACACACAGGAGAGAAGCCUUUCCUGCCCUGACUGUGGACCGUUUUCUCUCAGCUUUCCACUUAAAAUCACAGAACGUAUACAUACAGGAGAGAAGCCUUCUCUGCUCGACUGUGGGGAGUUUCUCUCAGUGCACCUUAAAAACACACCAACGUAUACACACAGGAGAGAAGUCUUACUCCUGCUCUGUGGAAGGGUGGGCGUGUAACUCAAACUUCUAGCCAAAGUGCUGUGUUUAGAAUCUCACAAGGAGGACUGUAGCAUUUUAGCUAAUCAGCAACUUGCAACUAUUACUACUUUUUAGCUAUUACUUAGUAUGUUAGCAAUCAUACAUUACAAGUUCGUAACAUAUGUAUGAAAGCAAUGCGUAAAAUAACUAAGAAUUGUAAUUCGUAACAACGAUACGUCCUAGAAGUCUAUUAUACUGAACAAUUUAAACACAACAAUUCAAAGAUUAUAGUUGUUAUAAGGAAAUCAGUCAUUUAAAUGAGAGGCAUAAUCUAUGGAUUCACAUGACUGGGCAGGGGAGAGAGAAUAAAGUAGACGGCACGGGUCAAAGUAAUUGAUUUAGACCCUGUGUCAUGAUGACGUGUACAUGUCCAAAUAUGGGCCUCCGGCCAGGCCAUCCUGUUCCUGUGGUCACGUGUUAGAGGGUGUGUGUUAUUUUAUAUCUAUAUUGCAUCCUUUGAAGUAGUCAUGGUGAUUGAGUCUAGGGGCCUGUUGAACUGGGGGGGUUGAGUGUUUGAACUUUUGAACGUGUAGUCCCACCCCCAGUUUUAUUGCCCUUAUGGUUGUUAUCUGAUGAAGCAGGAAUGUCCUGGGGUAUUGGCUGUGGCAUAUGCAUUUUAAAUAUCCAGAACAAGGCCUGUCACAAAUAUUACGAAGGUGGCCCCCUUCUUGUUCGGGUGGCGCUCGGCGGUCGUCGUCGCGGUCUACUAGCUGCCACCGAUCCUUUGUCCGUGUUCGUUUGGUUUUGUCUAUUGGUUUCACCUGUUCAUUGUUUGGUUGUUAGGGUGGGGUUAUUUAAGUUCGUUUAGCCGCUUCUGUUUGUGCGGGCUUGUUCUUCUGUAUUUGUGAGAGUGUUAGUGUUUUGUUGGGUUUCGCUGUCCUGGUAUUUUACCUAAGGGUACAUUGGUUUUUAUAGUUACGCCUGUGUUGGUAGACUAUGGUGUUCCUUUGAUUUUGGACAUUAAAGCGUGUUUUUUCCCACAUCCUUUGCUCUCUGCGCCUGACUCCAAACCCAUUCACUAAUUGAGCGUUACAGUCUGAAUAUUUAUGCAAAUAAGGUAUUKAUUUUUAUAAAUUGACAAAUUUGUAAAAAACUUUUUUCGCUUUGUCAUUAUGUGUAUAUUGAUGAGGGGUAAAAAAAUGCAUUUAAUCCAUUUUUGUAUAAGCCUGUAACGUAACAAUAUGUGGAAAAAGUCAAGGGGUCUUGUAUAAUGCCCUGUAUAUGCUUUAAACUACAAUUUAAGGAUCUGAAGUGGUAAACACAAUGGCAUAAUGGAAAAUACAUGUCCAAUGGUUAUCUCUGUAUGAGUCACAUUAAAACACUAGGUAGGGAAGUGGUUAUCUGUAUUAGUAUUACCAACAUAAAAACACCUAGGUAGAGCAGUGGUUCUCUCGGUAUUAGUAUUAUCUCUGUAUUACCCUUGGUAGAGCAGUGGUUCUCUCGGUAUUAGUAUUAUCUCUGUAUUACCCACAUUAAAACACCUAGGUAGAGCAGAGAGGACAGAGCAUGUGGCUUUGCAACACACAGGUGUUUCAUCUCCACACUGGGAUGAUUUUAACAGUGCAACGCCACACAGGCCUCAUGCCUCUCAGGUAGGAGGGUACCAGAAGUAAAAUAAUAAAAAACACAAAACUAAUGAAGGAGCACACAGGGCCACAGCACUUCAGGAGCACACAGUCACCAACAAUAUGUCCCUGGCGUCAAUACUUUCAACUGGCUCAGCUCGCUGUUACAGUACAGCACCACCAAAUUCCAUGUAUUAAGUAACCAUCUGUCUUAUGUAACCAUAAUGUAACAUAUCACACUAUUUUGAGAGUCCCAGUUUUAUAUUUACUGUGUUACAUCUUGUCUAUGAGACGAGGCUGCUCCUUGACCUACAUUAUACACAGCAGGUCAAGAGGUGUGUUUUCCCUUCAGCAUCUGCAUGUGGCAUAAACUCACCCACCUCACAUCAUGAAUCGAAAAUAGUUAUCUUUGGCUGUGAGUGAUGGGAAAAAAUCUGACUCGAAGGCAACCCUUUUCCUAACGUUAACCUCAGUCUCCUCACCUGCCAUGCUAAUUCACCUAACCAGCCACCUUAAAUAUCCUAACCUGCCACUUUAAUUAUCCUAACCAGUUAUGUAUGCUAUAUGCCUAGUUAAAUAAAAACUUUAUUUUUAUGAAUGUAGUUUUAUUUAUUUUUACAAAUAGUCUCCAUCAGUUUCAUAACGCCAUAACUGACCAAUGACAUGUAUCCAUUUUUAUUAUAUCAGGGAACAUCCACAUCAAGAAACUGUACAGUAGUUCUCCUACUGGGAGGCGCGGGAAAUAAUUUAAAGAGCGAUUGGUGCUGAGGACGCUAUGGCAGUGGAUGCCCCGCAGCCUGUUGAGAUUCAUAAUGUCGUUUACCAGUUGAAGGAUACCGAUAGU